AUUGAACGCUGGCGGCAGGCCUAACACAUGCAAGUCGAGCGGGGUUUUCGGACCUAGCGGCGGACGGGUGAGUAAUGCGUAGGAAGCUACCCGAUAGAGGGGGAUACCAGUUGGAAACGACUGUUAAUACCGCAUAAUGUCUACGGACCAAAGUGUGGGACCUUCGGGCCACAUGCUAUCGGAUGCGCCUACGUGGGAUUAGCUAGUUGGUGAGGUAAUGGCUCACCAAGGCGACGAUCCCUAGCUGGUUUGAGAGGAUGAUCAGCCACACUGGAACUGAGACACGGUCCAGACUCCUACGGGAGGCAGCAGUGGGGAAUAUUGGACAAUGGGCGCAAGCCUGAUCCAGCCAUGCCGCGUGUGUGAAGAAGGCCUUCGGGUUGUAAAGCACUUUCAGUAGGGAGGAAGGGUGUUGUGUUAAUAGUACUCAGCUUUGACGUUACCUACAGAAGAAGCACCGGCUAACUCUGUGCCAGCAGCCGCGGUAAUAC
rnacentral:rRNA from 1 species